rnacentral:SRP_RNA from 2 species
GCUGGGCAUGGUGGCUCAUGCCUGUAAUCCUAGCACUUUGGGAGGCUGAGGCAGGAGGAUCACUUGAGCACAGGAGUUCAAGACCACCCUGGGCAACAUAGUGAGACUCUGUCUCUA